rnacentral:rRNA from 1 species
AGCUCCAAUAGCGUAUAUUAAAGUUGUUGCAGUUAAAAAGCUCGUAGUUGAAUUUCUGAUAGAAGGGAGCGGUUCCGCAUUCUUGCGGAUACUGGCUCGUCUUCCGUCAUCCUUGGGCUUAGUCUCGCUGAUAUUAACUUAUCGGCGUGGACCAUGCCCAUCGUUUACUGUGAGCAAAUUAGAGUGUUCAAAGCAGGCAUUUUGCCAUUGAAUAUAUUAGCAUGGAAUAAUAAGAUAGGAUUUCACGAUUUUAUUUUGUUGGUUUGCGUUGUGAAAUAAUGAUUAAGAGGGACAGUUGUGGGUAUUCGUAUUCAGAUGUCAGAGGUGAAAUUCUUAGAUUAUCGGAAGACGAACGACUGCGAAAGCAUUUACCAAGGAUGUUUUCA